ACAAUUAACAUACAUAUUCAGCAAUAUAAACAAAUGUCAACCUAUAUACCCCCAGCUGGUGUCAAGUUUGGAAAAUAAUAACACGAAGAAAAGAGCUCAAGUGGCUUUUGAGAAAUCUGCAACAUACAUUCCUAUACACUUAGACAAAACCAUUGAACAACUCACAUUCAGUGUUUAUGUAACCCGGGUGAAAAACCCCAUUGUCAUUAUUAUUCCCUUUUUUUUGUGAAGCGUUAAAUGAUGCCGUGUGUCAUUACGUCGUGCCGUUACGUCAUUUCGUCGCGUCGUUACGUCAUCACAUUGCGCCGUAACAUAACUCCGUUGGGGCUCGCUGCCGGCAGCAGUGAGAGGAGCACGCCGGGGAAAUGUUUGCAGGAGGUACGUUGUAGUACGCCGCGGAAUAUCGUAAUUUAAACACUCUGGAACUAAAUGCAUUACAGUAACCUAAUGUUGAAACAUAGGAGCCGACUACCGGAGCCGCUGAUCAUACGAUUCGGAGACCUAGUCUAAAUGAAUCAUGGAAUUGGCCAGGUGAUGGCGAGAAGUAUAAGAGUAUAGUCAAGUUUGAAGAUCCUUGGAAACCUCCACUGCUUUGGUCGGGCUGGUAGGAGGCUCCUUGGCACAGGCGCUCCUCUCUCUCUCUGCCCUUACACUCAAUUAACAUUCCACACCUACAUUACACACAUUCACCCAUUAAUACAGACUGUUCCCUAAAACUUAUUUAUUGUCAAUUUGUAUAUAUAUAUGAUCGGAACUGUACAUAUUGUAUUGUUGUAUAUGAAUGGCCAUUUGUAUUUUGUUAAAUAAUUCUGGUAAUGGUUCACAAUUAUAUGGUGUCACCAAACUUAAA